rnacentral:lncRNA from 1 species
GGGCUCGUUGGACUCUAUUCAUCAUCUUGGAUCAUGUUAUAGACUCAAUAUGGAUUGAAUCUCGAGAUAUCAAAUCUUAAUAAGAUGAAUCACGAAGUACUCCAUAGAGUCGAAGAAACUAGAAGAGAAUAUCUUCUUCAACUUGCAUAUAGUCUUUACACUGCUAGCCUCAAGAUUAUAGAUAUGGUUGGUGGAUAGGUCGGUAACACAAAUGUCAUUGAAGAAAAGACUAAGCUUGAUAAAAAAACUCC